rnacentral:lncRNA from 1 species
CUCCAAUGCUUAAACCACAGGAGAAAAGUAGGAUGCUGGUACCACAGAAGUAGUGUGCUCCAAACUUCGGGCUGUACCUACUGUCCGGGGAUGAAAUCUGCCACCAGGACUUGCAAUACAUAGUCCUGUGCUCCCCAAGAGCUUUCGCUUCCUGCAAUGCGCUUGAGACCCGCAUGCAUCUUUGAAGAAAUGAUGCCUACUGCGAUUCAAGGAAGCAGGCUGUUCAUAAGGCAUAGUGACGAGCGCUACUGAAUCGUGUUCAUAAAUCACUUGUAGACCUUCUGCCAAUCACCAUCCAAUCAGCACUCGUACAGGAUAUGAGCGUGGAUGUUAUCGCAAUUUAAUGGGUCAGGGAUGCAAGGUGCUAUUGAAAGAAGUGAGGUUCAAUAGCAGUCUAGCAUCUGAACAAAAGAAGAUUUUCGCUGUAUUUUUCUGUGUUCUAGAGAAGUUAUGCGUGUCAGCACCCUCAUGCUCAACACAUUGCCCCGCUCAUCCCCAGAUACGCACAGAGCCUGGGCAAGGGGACGUCCUCCAGGAUGAAGCAUGGAGAGCUCCUGCUACUGAGCCUGUAAGACCUUAUAGCUCCUUGUGUGUCUGCUUGCUGUGCCUUGGCUGCAUAGGAGCUGCUCACCUGAUUGCUAGGGAUGAAGUCAGGAAUGAAUUCCUUCCCUCCAUCUGGUCACAAAGGCUGCUUCGUCCAUCUUCUGUGAUUCAAGGCUUGGUCUCCCUCCUGGAUGUGUUCACAGCCACACUCCCUGCUGUUCUUGGGACCUGA